UACGAAGGGGGCGAGCGUUGUUCGGAUUUACUGGGCGUAAAGGGCGCGCAGGCGGCUUUGUUUGUCAGGCGUGAAAUCCCAAGGCUUAACCUUGGAACUGCGUCGGAUACUGGAUGGCUUGAAUUCGGGAGAGGGAUGCAGAAUUCCAGGUGUAGCGGUGAAAUGCGUAGAUAUCUGGAGGAAUACCGGUGGCGAAGGCGGCAUCCUGGACCGACAUUGACGCUGAACGGCGAAAGCUAGGGGAGCAAACGGG
rnacentral:rRNA from 1 species